UACGGAGGGUGCAAGCGUUGUCCGGAAUUACUGGGCGUAAAGGGCGCGUAGGCGGCCGAUCAAGUCGGGGGUGAAAGCCUGUGGCUCAACCACAGAAUUGCCUUCGAUACUGUUUGGCUAGAGACCGGAAGAGGUUAGUGGAACUGCGAGUGUAGAGGUGAAAUUCGUAGAUAUUCGCAAGAACACCAGUGGCGAAGGCGGCUAACUGGUCCGGUUCUGACGCUGAGGCGCGAAAGCGUGGGGAGCAAACAGG
rnacentral:rRNA from 1 species